UACGUAGGGUGCGAGCGUUGUCCGGAAUUAUUGGGCGUAAAGAGCUCGUAGGCGGUUUGUUGCGUCUAUCGUGAAAACCUGCAGCUUAACUGUGGGCUUGCGGUGGAUACGGGCAGACUUGAGGCAUGCAGGGGAGAACGGAAUUCCUGGUGUAGCGGUGAAAUGCGCAGAUAUCGGGAGGAACACCGGUGGCGAAGGCGGUUCUCUGGGCCUUACCUGACGCUGAGGAGCGAAAGCGUGGGGAGCGAACAGG
rnacentral:rRNA from 1 species